rnacentral:lncRNA from 1 species
UCAAGUCCAUCUAUCAAUGAUUUGAGAUGUGGAAGAAUCCAUCAACCAAGCAAUCAACUCAAUUUAAAACAUCAAAUGAAAAUAAAAAAAAUUAUUAGAAUGAUUUAAUAAUGAUUAAUAAAAGAGAAAGUGUCAAAGAGGCAUCAAAAUAUCAAAUGAAAGUCCAAGAAAAAUUGAGAAGGUCAAAAAAAAUAUAAAUGAGUUGACCUC